rnacentral:misc_RNA from 1 species
CAGAGUAACCUGCCCUUCGGGGUAGAAGCUCCACCCUGUGUAUACUGUACCUGUAUUGCUUUGGCAGGCCGUUGGGCCUAGGCUUAGCUACCGGAAGAUCUCUGGUAAGUGCCUGCCAGAGGACUAAUAACUCUGAAAUUUUAAUGUCGUCUGAGUACUAUAUAAUAGUUAA